UUUUUUUUUUUUUUUUUGGGCCGGGGGGGUGGAAUCGAACACAAUUUAUUUUAGAACUAGAUAGGAAAGAUUGAACUGAAGAAAAAGUUUUACCCUAAACUUUCCCAAUUGACAUCUUCUGUACAGGCUCCAUGUUAUCAACUGUGUCAUUCACAUCAGUGGCCUGUACAAAUUGUGUAAUUCGAUUGAAGAGUCAAGUUUGCAAAUAACCGUCUUUCCAUUCGCUGUGCUUUAGAACAAUUCUCAAAACACAUUUAUUAUGCUCCCAACCCAUAACUGUUUAAUUAGGUUUUUCUUCUAAAAAUAAGUUGGAUCAAGAGAAUCAUUUACUUUAUACAUAUUCAAAAACAGAACUCAUUCAUUUUCUUCAGUGUUCCAUGGAGGGGAAAACUGUUCCAACCAAACAGAUGUAGUAAAAAGUAUGUUUCCUGUUUUGGCUUCUUUGUGUUAAUGACCAGAGAAAAUCCUUUAUUGUUUUCAUCUUGGCUUCAACAUAAUGUAUCAAUAUCCCUUUCUUCCUCUGAUUCUUGACCUGGUAUCCAACAUUGAUCUUUUAUACUCAAAAAAUGAGUAUUUCAAAACUUUGCAGUAUCCUUCCUUCAAACACCGCAGAGUGGAUUUUCCUUCCUGGACCAUACAGUUCGACUGCAACAGACACACACACAGGUCCUCCAGCUUGUCCUUGUAAUACUGGGGCAUGACGGUGCUUCCCAUCCACUGCGGACUCGACUUUCUUCCACUGCAACCGCUGCGACCAGGCCGGGAGCGAGUGAGGCCCCCGUCGCCGCUGGACUUUUAUGAGAGAGACGUAAGCCCCUGUUUAAGUCACUGUGGUCAGGUCUUCAUUAAUCACAACUAAAUGUAAUUCUUAGCUGAUCCACUGCCUGACACAGGGUGAUGUCCAGUAAAAGCUGGAACAUCUGGAAAGAGUUAGGGGUGAUGAGAAGAGUGGGCAAAAGGAUCUUGGCCUUGCUGCACUACAAGUUCUGAGUGACCAAGUUAUGUGCUCUUUCGGGGCCUCAGUUUAUUUUCUCUGAAGUGUGAGGGUCACACUAAAUAUUCUCUAAAAGAUUCUUUGGGCUCGUAUCCCUCUGAAUCUAUGGACUGGAGAGAUCUGGGUGCUCCUCUGGUUCCACCCUUAAUAGCUUUGUAACUGUAGGAGGGUUUCAUAGCCUCUUGGAGCUUUGGGUUUUCAUCUCAGUUGUCUAACAUGUCAGGUACACAGGAAAUGUUUGUUGAAUGCAGGAGGAAAGUGGGAAUCAUGCCACCUGUCUUGGCUGCUUCCCCAGAUGAUAGCAAGAAGAGGAUAAGAUGGUCCUGUACAGUGCCACCCAGAAGAGUGGGCUACUGUAAUUCUGAUGGCUGCAGGACUGACCUAGCCUCCCCCAGCCUCAUGCAGAGCUUGUGUUCUACGUAUCUGCCAGAACUGGCCUCUACUACAAAAAGACCCUGCCACCUUCCUCCCUGAGCAGC
rnacentral:lncRNA from 1 species